GAUUUCUGGCGAACUGUAGCGGCCCGUGCUCGUAUCGGGCGUGUGUGCCGUGACAUGUUUGUCAUCCUUCCAGAGAGCUGCGUCUACCAUUCAUUUGGCCGGACGUACGCGAUCUGGAUCUAUUACUUUGAAAAAAUUAGAGUGUUUAAAGCAGGCAUUUUGCUCUGAAUACAUUAGCAUGGAAUAAUAAUUUAGGACUUCGGUUCUAUUUUGUUGGUUUCUAGGACUGAAGUAAUGAUUGAUAGGGAUAGUUGGGGGUGCUAGUAUUCAGCGGCCAGAGGUGAAAUUCUCGGAUUCGCUGAAGACUAACUUAUGCGAAAGCAUU
rnacentral:rRNA from 1 species